rnacentral:rRNA from 1 species
GACUACUGGGGUAUCUAAUCCCAUUCGCUCCCCUAGCUUUCGUCCAUGAGUGUCAGUUGCGGCCUAGCAGAGCGCUUUCGCCACCGGUGUUCUUCCCAAUCUCUACGCAUUUCACCGCUACACUGGGAAUUCCCUCUGCCCCCACCGCACUCUAGCUGUGUAGUUUCCACUGCCUGUUCAGGGUUAAGCCCUGACCUUUGACAGCAGACUUACACUGCCACCUGCGGACGCUUUACGCCCAAUCAUUCCGGAUAACGCUUGCAUCCUCCGUAUUACCGCGGCUGCUGGCACGGAGUUAGCCGAUGCUGACUCCUCAGGUACCGUCAUUGUGUUCUUCCCUGAGAAAAGAGGUUUACGACCCAAGAGCCUUCCUCCCCCACGCGGUAUUGCUCCGUCAGGCUUUCGCCCAUUGCGGAAAAUUCCCCACUGCUGCCUCCCGUAGGAGUCUGGGCCGUGUCUCAGUCCCAGUGUGACUGGCCAUCCUCUCGGACCAGUUACUGAUCGGAGCCUUGGUAGGCUUUUACCCCACCAACUAGCUAAUCAGACGCGAGCUCUUCCCCAGGCAAUUAAUCUUUCACCUUUCGGCUUAUUCGGUAUUAGCCACCGUUUCCAAUGGUUGUCCCCAACCUGAGGGCCGAUUCUCACGCGUUACUCACCCGUCCG